GCGCGAAAGCCGGAAGUAGGGUUGGGUUGUUGAUAGAGGAAGUGGGCCCGGGAUUGUUCUAGACGACCGAGUAGGGGAUUCAGGGAUCAAGGAAAGGCCCGGCAGCGGCUGCCGACGGCUCCACGGAAGCUGAACGGGCCCGGUCCAAGAUGGCGGCGGCGGAGGCCUCCCCUCCUCUCUUCUCCUCUCUGGCGCCGGCCCGCCCCCGAGCCCCGAAUAUAGGUCCGUCAUUGCUCCCGCAGUACGUCGCUCUGCGCCGUUAGGCGCGCCCCAUUGGUUCCUAGCGAGAAUGAGGCCAACCUCUUCAUUAUGAUUGGCUGAUCUCGGCAAGGCGCGGCGUUCGAUUGGCCUCCCGCUCAGCUUGCUUGGAUUGGCUCGGGUAUUUCUUCCCAGCUCCUCCUCCUCCUCCCCUCCUCGGAGCACAACACGCCAGCGCGAGGACCUGGGUGUCAAUCAGGAAGCCUGUGUCGUGCUGAUUGGAUGUGUCCGCCCCCUUACCCUAAAUCAAUUGGCAGCGGGGAGGAGUCAGGGUGAGGGGCGGGAAGUUACUCGUCAAGUUUAAAGGCAGCUGUAAUUGGUUGCGAGGUGUAUUCUACCCUGAACUCAUUGGUUAGCUAUGAAUGUGGGUAGAGGAAAACGACAAAAAGCAUAGCGUGUGAGUGUUAAAGGAAGCUUAUCUAGUGGGAGACGGAGAGGUGCCAGAGGGUUGGGGAUAGUAAACCCAAGUCAUCUACCAAUCAAAAGAGCCGCCAGCCCUAAGGGGAGGAGCUAGACAAACACCCCGCCCCUUCCCUCGGUUAGCCAAUAGGGUAGCUAUUAACCUGCCGACAGGUGUGGUUGUCGGAGCAUCCUUCCUUUGCCUGUCUAGGCUGUUAUCUGAUCCUCGUAGUUAUUCCCCAAGCGCGUUUGCUUGGUAUAUCUCUAAAACUCAGUGCUUUCUAAAGGAUGAAAGAAAGAAAGAAGGAAUCAGGAACAUUGCAGAAGCGACUGAGAAACACAAGGCGUGGGACUGACGUUUCUCUGGUUAAGUUAGCAGACUGGGACCUUCCCUGGAGUUGCAAGGACUCCAGCUGUAGAGGAAACUGCGCUUUGCCCUACCUCGGUUACAUCUGUAAUGACUACUCACUAGAGUUCUGCUAUGCUUCUUAAGGAGUAAACUUCUCCGACCACCCUUGCCGAGUGCUUAGUACCCAUGAAGCACUCCAUAGCCCUUUGCUGACUAGGUUGCAAACGUGAGCACCACGUUUUCAUGAAUUGGGGAAACUCGAUCUAUCUCUGCCUACUAUGUGGAGGAAAAGAAGAUAAAUCCACACUUGAAGAGAACGUGCACGUGCAUUUCACCGCAUCAGAAUGGCAUGAAGCAAGAGAGAAAAAAUGGCUUAUAAAAAGGCAUAUUCUUCGGCUGGAAAGAUGGCUCAGCAAUUUCACAUAGGACAGGCUGGAUUGGACCUAGAGCUUUGCAGCAGAGAAUGACCUUGAACUUCAAGUCUUCCUGCUUCCAUUUCUCAAGUACUGGAUUUCAGGUAUGUGCUUACCACCAUGUGGCUGCUUCUUCGACCUUUUAAGGAACUGGAAGUCACUGUGUAGACUAGGUUCGCCAGAGAACUCACAGAAAUCUGGUCUCUGCCUGGUAACGCUGGGAGUGAGUGAGUGCCACCACACCGCAAAGCCCUUUUAAAAUGUUUGAGACAUGGCCUUGACACUGCUAGGCAGGCACCCCGGUUUGAACUGUAUUGCUG
rnacentral:lncRNA from 1 species